rnacentral:rRNA from 1 species
UGGGGAAUUUUGGACAAUGGGCGAAAGCCUGAUCCAGCAAUGCCGCGUGUGUGAAGAAGGCCUUCGGGUUGUAAAGCACUUUUGUCCGGAAAGAAAUCCUUGGCUCUAAUACAGUCGGGGGAUGACGGUACCGGAAGAAUAAGCACCGGCUAACUACGUGCCAGCAGCCGCGGUAAUACGUAGGGUGCAAGCGUUAAUCGGAAUUACUGGGCGUAAAGCGUGCGCAGGCGGUUUGCUAAGACCGAUGUGAAAUCCCCGGGCUCAACCUGGGAACUGCAUUGGUGACUGGCAGGCUAGAGUAUGGCAGAGGGGGGUAGAAUUCCACGUGUAGCAGUGAAAUGCGUAGAGAUGUGGAGGAAUACCGAUGGCGAAGGCAGCCCCCUGGGCCAAUACUGACGCUCAUGCACGAAAGCGUGGGGAGCAAACAGGGUUAGAUACCCUGGUAGUCCACGCCCUAAACGAUGUCAACUAGUUGUGGGGAUUCAUUUCCUUAGUAACGUAGCUAACGCGUGAAGUUGACCGCCUGGGGAGUACGGUCGCAAGAUUAAAACUCAAAGGAAUUGACGGGGUCAUAGCUGUUUCCU